AGAAAAGUAUUUAAAUAAAUAAAGUCUAAAUUGCAAUUAGAAAUUGAAGUAUAUCCUUUUCUG
rnacentral:tRNA from 1 species